rnacentral:lncRNA from 1 species
GUAGCUAGCUAGCUCGCAUAGCACCACCAGUGACAGUGAGCAGACCGGAGAGAGGAAGAUGACGAUGAAGCAGCAGCAGGUGGUGGUGUGCGCAGUGCUGGUGCUGCUGGCCAUGGCGGGCGUCGCGUCGGCGGCGUCUUGCAACGUGGGUCAGCUGACGCCAUGCGCGUCGGCGCUGGCGACGGGCGCGACGCCGUCGGCGUCGUGCUGCUCGAGCCUGAAAGCGCAGCAGGGGUGCUUCUGCACGUACGCCAAGAACCCCACCUACGCGCGCUACAUCAACAGCCCCAACGCCAAGAAGGUGGUCGCCUCCUGCGGCCUCACCGUCCCGCGCUGCUAAUUUUGCUAUCAGCCCCGCCCGCUGCGCUCCAUCAUCCAUGCCCGCGAUGUUAU